CAAUAGCGUAUAUUAAAGUUGUUGCGGUUAAAAAGCUCGUAGUUGGAUUUCUGCCGAGGACGACCGGUCCGCCCUCUGGGUGAGCAUCUGGAUCGGCCUGGGCAUCCUCUUGGGGAACGUAGCUGCACUUGACUGUGUGGUGCGGUAUCCAGGACUUUUACUUUGAGGAAAUUAGAGUGUUUCAAGCAGGCUCACGCCUUGAAUACAUUAGCAUGGAAUAAUAAGAUAGGACCUUGGUUCUAUUUUGUUGGUUUCUAGGACAUACGCAAUGAUUAAUAGGGACAAUUGGGGGCGAUUCGUAUUAACGCGUCAGAGGUGGAAUUCUUAGAUUGCGUUACGACGAACUACUGCGAAAGCAUUUGUCCAAAGAAUGUUUUCUAUUGAUCAAGAACGAAAGUAAUGGGGAGUCGAAGAUGAUCAGAUACCGU
rnacentral:rRNA from 1 species